rnacentral:lncRNA from 1 species
GCCCCCCAGGGCACAUUCAAGUUGGCGGAACAAUCACAUUGGGGGGCUCUGAAACCAAGCGUGGGGAGUUCGAUUCCUGGCGGGAACCUUUGAUCCAAUAAAGGAGGAAUUAUUGGUGGAUUAAUCACCAUGGAGGAGGCUCCCUUUGGGGAAGGAGUAAAAGUCAUGUGGGAACCUGGGAACCAACAAGGGCACAUCCUGUGAUUUACCUCCCUGAGCAGCUGAGGGGCCGGAGGUUCAGGGACG